rnacentral:rRNA from 1 species
AUGUUUAAUCAUUUUGAUAUGACCUCUAAUCUUGGUGAUGAUUCUGUGUUGAAUGACUUAUUGCAUGUUUGCUUAUUUAAGCAUGUUGUAGCAUGUAAAUUUGAUGCAAGUAAGGUUUAUUCACCAAUGUUGGGAUGGUUUAAUGAUGAACAUUGUCAAUCUUUUGAAAUGAAUAAGAGCUUCACUUAUAUGUGCAAACUGAGUUGCAAUAUUUUCAUGCCUUCUACUUCUUGUGCUAAUUUUUUGGCUUUAGAUUUUAUGAACUAUGCAAGUUACUCAUCUAUUCAUGUGUCAUAUAUGCAAAAAUCAAGGGAAGUAAAAAUGGAUGACAUAUACAUAUACAACAUGUACACCUUGUCUCUUUUGUUAGCCACAUUUCAGAUUAAGCAACGCCGAGGACGGCUUUAUUUUCAAGAAGGGGAGGAUGAUGAGGAUAUGACUACCUUGGAUAUGACCAAAAAUAUUGCAUAUAUGCAUAUUUGUCAGGUAAUUUCUAGUGCAAACUAUUCAAUAAUCUAUUUAUGUUAUCCAGAACAAAAAUACUUCACACACUUGUGUUUUGUCUAA